rnacentral:rRNA from 1 species
GCGGCGUGCCUAACACAUGCAAGUCGAGCGAGAAACAAUCAAAUGAUUCCUUCGGGAUGAACUUGAUUGUGGAAAGCGGCGGACGGGUGAGUAACGCGUGGGCAACCUGCCCUAUACAGAGGGAUAGCCACUGGAAACGGUGAUUAAUACCUCAUAAUACUACAUUAUCACAUGAUGAUAUAGUCAAAGAUUUAUCGGUAUAGGAUGGGCCCGCGUCUGAUUAGCUAGUUGGUAAGGUAAUGGCUUACCAAGGCAUCGAUCAGUAGCCGACCUGAGAGGGUGAUCGGCCACACUGGAACUGAGACACGGUCCAGACUCCUACGGGAGGCAGCAGUGGGGAAUAUUGCACAAUGGGGGAAACCCUGAUGCAGCAACGCCGCGUGAGCGAUGAAGGCUUUCGGGUCGUAAAGCUCUGUCCUAAGGGAAGAAUAGAUGACGGUACCUUAGGAGGAAGCCCCGGCUAACUACGUGCCAGCAGCCGCGGUAAUACGUAGGGGGCAAGCGUUAUCCGGAAUCAUUGGGCGUAAAGGGUGCGUAGGCGGCCAGAAAAGUCAGAGGUGAAAGGCUACGGCUUAACCGUAGUAAGCCUUUGAAACUAUUUGGCUUGAGUGCAGGAGAGGAAAGUGGAAUUCCUAGUGUAGCGGUGAAAUGCGUAGAUAUUAGGAGGAACACCAGUGGCGAAGGCGACUUUCUGGACUGU